rnacentral:rRNA from 1 species
UUAAAAUUGUUGCAGUUAAAACGCUCGUAGUUGAAUUUCAAAGAAUCAAUAUUUUAAGUAAUGCUUUUGGUUUAAGAUGCUUAGGCAAUACAACGUAUCUGCUCUUUGCAUUCCUUAUCCAAAAUGUGUUCUUAUUAUAAAAAGGAUUCUUUUUAAAAUCUCCUUUACUUUUUCUUGUACAGGAGAUUUUGUUACUUUGAGUAAAUUAGAGUGUUCAAAGCAAACAGUUAAAGCAUUUUACUGCGUUUGAAUACUACAGCAUGGAAUAACAAAAUUGAACAAGUCAAAACUCUGUUCCUUUUUCUUAUUUUGGCUUAGUUACGAUUAAUAGGAGUAGCUUGGGGGCAUUUGUAUUCAGAUGUCAGAGGUGAAAUUCUUAGAUUUUCUGGAGACAAACAACUGCGAAAGCAUUUGCCUAAAAUACUUCCAUUAAUCAAGAACGAAAGUUAAGGGAGUGAAGACGAUCAGAUACCGUCGUAAUCUUAACCAUAAACUAUGCCGACUAGGUUUUGGAUGAAAGAUUUUUAAAUAAGAAAAUUCCUUUUGGAAAUUUCUUAGAUUGCUUCCUUCAGUACCUUAUGAGAAAUCAAAGUCUUUGGGUUCUGGGGCGAGUAUUCGCGCAAGCGAGAAAGUUAAAAGAAUUGACGGAAGGGCACCACCAGGCGUGGAGCUUGCGGCUUAAUUUGACUCAACACGGGGAAACUCACUAGUUUAAGACAAGAGUAGGAUUGACAGAUUAAUAGCUCUUUCUUGAUUUCUUGGAUGGUGAUGCAUGGCCGUUUUUAGUUCGUGAAUAUGAUUUGUCUGGUUAAUUCCGAUAACGAACGAGAUCUUAACCUGCUAAUUAGCGGCGAAUACGUUAUAUUCCUACUUGAAAUUGAAUAUAGCUGAAUUUGCUUAUUUUGAAGAAUAUAUUAGGAUACAUUAUAGUGUCCUUUUCCCUUUUCUACUUAAUUCGCUAUUCAUGCUGUUUCUUUUUUGUGUAGGAAUGUAUUCGUUUGAUUGUAAAGCUUCUUAGAGGAACGAUGUGUGUCUAACACAAGGAAGUUUAAGGCAACAACAGG